rnacentral:rRNA from 1 species
CGUAAUAAUAGAAACUAACCAGGAUUCCCUUAGUAACGGCGAGUGAACUGGGAUAUUAUAUAUAUUCUAUGUACGUUACCUCGUGUGCGUACAAAAUUUAGCCCGUCGAUACUAUCCUAAGCAUAGUUACUUGGCUUCGCGGCCGGUAAACUUAUCUAUGCGGGAAUUGUAGCAUCGUAAUCUAUACAGACAAUACACUUUUGUUGUUGUUGUUGUCGUAUAUACGCACGCAUUGCACUCCGCACACUUAUUUCUAUAAUGCGUACACCUUACUUUCAAACACACAGCGCUCCCGCGUUGGAAAGCAAGUCUAUAUCCUAUCUUUGGAUAUGCCAUAGAGUGUGAUGGCCACGUUUUAACUCUUUAGGUACACGUACGCUUUAUAUAUGCAUUGCGCGCUGUUAUACGCACACACACAUACCGUAUAUACUGUAUAUAUAUAUAUAUAACCUGAGUCGAGUUAUUU